AAGUGAGUGAGUAUUCGCAGCUGUGAGCACAUUUUGGGUAUUGAGUCUUGAAAUUCUUUUAUCCUUUUCUUCUCUUCUUCUUCUUCUGAUGCAGUUACACCCCAUUUGCCCUCAAGCUCACGUUGCUUCUUCCUCUCUUCAAAUUGCAAUCUUAGUUGCAACUCUUCCAGAGCAGCUCUGUACAUUGCAUCCUGGGCAUUCUGGAGCUCAAUGAUCUGAUCAAAAACAGCUCGAAGUUGGUUGAGAA
rnacentral:lncRNA from 1 species